AUUUCUCCUUCAGUUUAUUCUUUUGAUAUAGUUCCUGCAUCUUAGACAUUCUAACUCAAUUUCUCCUACAUCAGAACUCAUGCUGCUAUUGAGGAGCAUGUGAAAGAAGCAAUAAGGCUUUUCACCGUGUCUAUAAUGGAUAUUGCUCGGUCUGGAAUACACCAACAAAUUAGUCUCACACCAGAAAUGGAAAAUGAAAUAAAGCAAGCAGAAACUCAGAUAAAGAGAAGAAUUGGGAUUGGAAACCACAUAUCUGAAAGAAGGCUUAUUGAUGACCUCAGCAGAAUGGGAAUGAACGAAUCCAUUGAUGCUGGUGCUCAGACUUACCUGCUUAUUAGAUCGUAUCAUGUAUGGAACAUGGAUUCUAGUACCAGUUAAUUUUCUAAAAUUCAAUUUGUUUCUUUGGGUGGAGACUAUUAUGGAACUCACAAGUGGCACUGGUACUUCACUCAGGGAUUUCCAGUGAUGAUCUUCUCUUUCUUACCAUUUUGCAUAGAUGGUAUCAUUUAUUCAAAACAGUGGAGAUACGCUUGUCUUCUUGCUUGGGUUCUGGGUUUAUACGGUGUACUAGGCCACAAGGAGUUCAGGUGCUUCAAUCAAAAUUAUUCAUGCAUAUAUAAGUCUAUACGUGGUCUGCUGGUUUUAAUUAGUUUAUGAUAAUAAUUACUAUGAAGUACAGGUUUGUGUUGCGCGUUCUUCCCAUAGCUGUGAUCUUAUCUGGUUAUUUUUUGGCUAUGAUAGAAGAUCCUAGUUUGCCCGGUUAUAAAGCAAAAGAAUAUUUAAAGAAGCGUACCAAUUGUUCUCUGAAGAUGGUACUUGCUGUCAUAUUUUUGCUUGCUACCAAUAUUCCAAUGUCUCUGUAUAUGAGUUUGGUUCAUCAAAAGGGACCUGAGGAUGUUAUAAACCACCUUGCCAGAGAAGCUAGUCAUGGGAAAGUGAAAAACAUCCUAUUCCUAACUCCUUGCCAUGCCACCCCGUACUACUCCGUACUGCAUCGCGACCUGCCAAUGCAAUUCCUGGACUGCACACCAAGGUUUGGAAUUCACAAUCCUGGAGUGGCUUGUUGUAAUCUUCAUUGGGACUGAAAUAAGAUAACAAUUCUUUUUAAUUUUAUUGUGUUCUGCAGCAAAGAGAGAGGAGUUCUUAAUGAGCCUGACCAUUUUCUGAUGGAUUCUGUUUCAUUUUUAUCCGAAUAUGCAAAAAUAUGUCUGCUGAGCCACAUUGUUUUAUUUGAUUCGGAAGAACAAAAAUUGAAGAACUUAUUAAAUUCAUAUGAUUAUAGAGAGGAAAGAAGAUUUUUUAAUGCUCACUUCAAGGUGGGUCGCGAACUUCAAGCAUCGAUUGUUGUCUACAUCCAUACAAGGCAGUGAAUGAUUAUCCGCCAUGCAUAGUUUUGGACUCGCUAUCCACAGUUGAAGGUGUCAUUUCUUCAGGUUUCUCUUGAAAAUUUUGACAUUGGUGAUUUAAAAACUUUGUACAACUGUAUUUUUUGCCUCCAAAAUUUGCACUGAAUAGUUUGUAAAUUCCUUCCUAACUCAGUUAGAGAUUAUCUACAGUUUUGUAUGAAAAUGAGCCGUAUCAAGAACGAGAACAUGAACAAUUAUUUGAU